GUACUGUUUUCCUUUUAUUCAAAUAUUAGCCUCUACCUGUCACAAAACAAGGCCAGAGACAACAGGUAAGUGACAAACUGGAUGGUUUAUUGAAUGGGAAUCGGGAAACUGGAACAGGAGAGGCAAGGGCAGGUGUGUUGGGGAUCUUGGAGCGGGAACAAAGGAGUCGUUGGAGGAUCGGCAGAGAGAGUGAAAGGGUACGUUUUUCAACCAUCCGAUCCAGUCCGUAUCCAGAUCAAAUGGUGGAUCAGUACCUAGAGAUGACCUCUACAGCCCUGAACGUCAGCAGAGAUCAGGACACCUACAUGAGCCCCAGAGACAGAUCCCCAGUGAAGACCUUCUCACCUAGACGGCCAUCAGGACAAGACCUCGGGAACCAGAUGAGUCCCUUUACACAAUCUGACUUUGCUGCAGUUGGAAUUGAACUGCUGGUUCGUCUGGUCAGAGGAGAACUGACCCCCGACUGAGCCUGGUUUCUCCCAAGGUUUUUUUCUCCAUUCUGUCACCGAUGGAGUUUUGGUUCCUUGCCGCUGUCGCCUCUGGCUUGCUUAGUUGGGGACACUUAAUUUCCAGCGAUAUCGUCGACUUGAUUGCACAGAUACUAUUUAAACUGAACUGAGCUGGACAAUGACAUCAUUGAAUUCAAUAAUGAAAUGCCUUUAACUGAAGAUUGAGUGUUUAAUCUUAUCAUUAUACAUUACUGACACUCUAUCCUCCAAAUUUU